GACGAACGCUGGCGGCAUGCCUAACACAUGCAAGUCGAACGAAACCUUCGUGCCUUUUUGCGUACGGGUGCGUAAAGCGUGUGAGUCAGCCCUUAGUUUCGGAAUCACUCCCCUGAAGUGACGCUAAUACCGGGUAACGACUUCGGACCAAAGAUUGAUCGGCUUUGGUUGGGCCCGCGUUGGAUUAGCUAGUUGGUAUGGUAUAAGCCUGCCAAGGCGUCGUUCCAUAGCUGUUCCGUGAGGAUGAUCAGCCAGACUGGGACUGAGACACGGCCCAGACUCGGACGGGGGGGAGGAGUAGGGAAUAUUGGAGGAUGGGCGAUAGUCUGAUCCAGCAAUGCCGCGUAAGUGAGGCAGGGGUUAGGGUUGUGAAGCUGUCUGACCCGAGACGAGAGUGACAGUACCGGGAAAAGAAGCUCCGGCUAACUACGUG
rnacentral:rRNA from 1 species